GACGAACGCUGGCGGCGUGCUUAACACAUGCAAGUCGAACGGAAAGGCCCUGCUUUUGUGGGGUGCUCGAGUGGCGAACGGGUGAGUAACACGUGAGUAACCUGCCCUUGACUUUGGGAUAACUUCAGGAAACUGGGGCUAAUACCGGAUAGGAGCUCCUGCUGCAUGGUGGGGGUUGGAAAGUUUCGGCGGUUGGGGAUGGACGCGCGGCUUAUCAGCUUGUUGGUGGGGUAGUGGCUUACCAAGGCUUUGACGGGUAGCCGGCCUGAGAGGGUGACCGGCCACAUUGGGACUGAGAUACGGCCCAGACUCCUACGGGAGGCAGCAGUGGGGAAUAUUGCACAAUGGGCGGAAGCCUGAUGCAGCAACGCCGCGUGCGGGAUGACGGCCUUCGGGUUGUAAACCGCUUUCGCCUGUGACGAAGCGUGAGUGACGGUAAUGGGUAAAGAAACACCGGCUAACUACGUG
rnacentral:rRNA from 1 species